rnacentral:tRNA from 1 species
GGGGGUGUAGCUCAGUGGUAGAGUGUGUGCUUAGCAUGCACGAAGUUCUGGGUUCAAUCCCCAGUACCUCCA